UACGUAGGGUGCUAACGUUGUUCGGAAUCACUGGGCAUAAAGAGCGCGUAGGCGGUCUGAUAAGUCAGGUGUGAAAUCCCCCGGCUUAACCUGGGAACUGCGUCCGAUACUGGCAGGCUUGAAUCCGGGAGAGGGAUGUGGAAUUCCAGGUGUAGCGGUGAAAUGCGUAGAUAUCUGGAGGAACACCGGUGGCGAAGGCGGCAUCCUGGACCGGCAUUGACGCUGAGGCGCGAAAGCCAGGGGAGCAAACGGG
rnacentral:rRNA from 1 species